AUUGCUUCUUGGCCUUUUGGCUAAGAUCAAGUGUAGUAUGAUGUGCUUGUGUGAAAGGAAUAUCCUUAUUUACCCUUU
ensembl:snRNA U2 U2 spliceosomal RNA